CCUACGGGUGGCUGCAGUGGGGAAUAUUGGACAAUGGGGGGAACCCUGAUCCAGCCAUGCCGCGUGUGUGAAGAAGGCCCUCGGGUUGUAAAGCACUUUCAGUGAGGAAGAACGCCUGGUGGUUAAUACCCAUCAGGAAAGACAUCACUCACAGAAGAAGCACCGGCUAACUCCGUGCCAGCAGCCGCGGUAAUACGGAGGGUGCGAGCGUUAAUCGGAAUUACUGGGCGUAAAGCGCGCGUAGGUGGCUUGAUAAGCCGGUUGUGAAAGCCCCGGGCUCAACCUGGGAACGGCAUCCGGAACUGUCAAGCUAGAGUGCAGGAGAGGAAGGUAGAAUUCCCGGUGUAGCGGUGAAAUGCGUAGAGAUCGGGAGGAAUACCAGUGGCGAAGGCGGCCUUCUGGACUGAUACUGACACUGAGGUGCGAAAGCGUGGGUAGCAAACAGGAUUAGAUACCCCGGUAGUC
rnacentral:rRNA from 1 species